UACGAAGGCUGCGAGCGUUAUCCUGAUUUAUUGGGUUUAAAGGGAGCGUAGGCGGUCUUUUUAGUCAGUGGUGAAAUCUCGUUGCUUAACAACGAACGUGCCAUUGAUACUGUAGGACUUGAGUACAGUUGCCGUUGGCGGAAUGUGUCAUGUAGCGGUGAAAUGCAUAGAUAUGACACAGAACACCGAUUGCGAAGGCAGCUGACGAAACUGUAACUGACGCUGAGGCUCGAAAGCGUGGGGAUCAAACAGG
rnacentral:rRNA from 1 species